UACAGAGGUCCCAAGCGUUGUUCGGAUUCACUGGGCGUAAAGGGUGCGUAGGUGGUGGGGUAAGUCGGAUGUGAAAGCUCGGAGCUCAACUCCGAAAUGGCAUUGGAAACUACCCUGCUAGAGGAUUGGAGGGGGGACUGGAAUACUUGGUGUAGCAGUGAAAUGCGUAGAUAUCAAGUGGAACACCAGUAGCGAAGGCGAGUCCCUGGACAAUACCUGACACUGAGGCACGAAAGCUAGGAGAGCAAACAGG
rnacentral:rRNA from 1 species